GUGUAAGAAUAGUAGAAUACGCCAGGUGUAAGAAUAGUAGAAUACGCCAGGUGUAAGAAUAGUAGAAUACGCCAGGUGUAAGAAUAGUAGAAUACGCCAGGUUUAAGAAUAAUAGAACACGCCAGGUGUAAGAAUAAUAGAACACGCCAGGUGUAAAAAUAAUAGAACACGCCAGGUGUAAGAAUAAUAGAACACGCCAGGUGUAAGAAUAAUAGAACACGCCAGGUGUAAGAAUAGUAGAAUGCGCCAGGUGUAAGAAUAGUAGAAUACGCCAGGUGUCAGAAUAGUAGAAUACGCCAGGUGUCAGAAUAGUAGAAUAUGCCAGGUGUAAGAAUAGUAGAAUACGCCAGGUGUAAGAAUAAUAGAACACGCCAGGUGUAAGAAUAAUAGAACACGCCAGGUGUAAGAAUAGUAGAAUACGCCAGGUGUAAGAAUAAUAGAACAC
ensembl:lncRNA